CGUAGUUGUGUCCGCGCCUAAAAAUACUUCCCUUUCUCAACUUCCCUCGCUUACGUUCCCCUUGUUCGAUCUACAUCGUAUGUUAGCGUAGUGCAACAGUGUUACGUUCUUAAUGCGAAAACUAGAAGGGACAUCCCACGGAUGGAUGUUCCAGGCUAAAAGGAUACAUUUUCGACACCAUCUGUACUGUGCGUUUCGUCAAGGCCAAAUCGUUUGCCUUGCCCAAAAAGACAUUUGCCUUGUGUACCGUAAUAAAGCUAUUGGUCAAAGAAGUGCUCAAGAGUGGAUUGCCAAGUUCGACAAAAUUUCCGGUACCUAGCUCAUGGCCCUUGCUCUGGCCGACCGUCUGAGUUUGAUGAUGCCACAUAAGGUAUCUGACAAACAACCCGGAAAUUGACCUCAGGCUUUCUGAAUUCAACGAGAAAUUACGACAUAACACUGUAUCUCAAUAUCCUGUUUGGUAUCGUCAUGCAGCCAAAAAGACCGAUUUUUGGUAGAACUCUCACCGGCAAUUUAAAAUUUUGUCGGUACGACAACAUGAACCAAAGAUCGAAACGGAUAGCUCCAAGAAAGAAGAUAAGGUACGGGAGAAUCUUGAUCCAAAAAAGAUUACGCUUGGUGUUUGGUGGCAUUACGAAGGCCUAAUUCAUUGGAAAUAGCAAAAUGGUUAAUCGGCACGUUUACUUUCUUUAGCUGCCUAACUGUUUAAGAAAAAAGACCCAACAAACGAGGUAGCCACACACACGACAAAAAUCGCCAAGGAUACUCUCCUGGACUUCAAAUGGAAGGUAAAAUUACUUUUCGGAAUAAGAGUCAACGUAGUUGCAGAGCCGGCGCCGAAAUACCCUUGAAAGCGGUGAUACAUAGAUCAUUCCUCAUCAUAGCGAACGCAAUCAUUUUUCUGGAAGAUAAUUCAACUAGAUCAAAAGAUAGGACCAGACGUAUGCAAAAGUAGCCAAAAUAUGGAUUAAGCGAAUAAGCAUCAUGAAUAAAGUCUAGGAAAC